ACCCAACGAACGUAAACCAACCAACAUACUUAACAAUAAAAUAAAAUGUUGUGCUGGUUCAAUCCAUCGAAGUAUACAUGAUUCUAUAUACUUAACACAUCUUUUUUUUUUUUUUGAACACCAUACUUAACACAUCUUUAACUUGAUAUCAAGUAUAUAAACAAACAAUUUACUUUUUGGAAAAAGUAUACAAACAAUUUACAGCUUUCAAUUCCUAUAGGAUACCAAUUCAAAUGUUC
rnacentral:lncRNA from 1 species